UACAGAGGGGGCAAGCGUUAUUCGGAAUUAUUGGGCGUAAAGGGCGCGUAGGCGGCUUGGCAAGUGGAUGGUGAAAUCCCUCGGCUUAACCGAGGAACUGCCAUCCAGACUGCUUUGCUUGAGGCCGGGAGAGGUGAGUGGAAUUCCCAGUGUAGCGGUGAAAUGCGUAGAUAUUGGGAGGAACACCAGUGGCGAAGGCGACUACCUGGCCUGUUCUUGACGCUGAGGCGCGAAAGCUAGGGGAGCAAACGGG
rnacentral:rRNA from 1 species